ensembl:lncRNA
GCCUUGCAUGACCUUUGACUUGAAAAAUGUUGAUUACGAGAACGUGCCAGAUGAAACACACACCGAUGUAGCGAGAUUGCAGUCAUGAGCAGUUCAGCUGGAGCUCGCUGUUGUUUUGGGAGAAAUUCCAGUAAAUCUUGGCUUGAUUCGGGUCUCUAGCGCAGUGGAACCACAGAGCUAUGGCUUGCUCUUCACUUUAUGGAAAUGUGUGUCGUGAGUGCGUAACUGCUUUAUAGGUAAAAUAUGAAUCCUGGAACUUGGGAAAGAGGUCAAACGUUUUAUUAUGUUCUCACAAAACUUACUCUGGCAUGGGGAAACCAUAUUCCACCACAUGCGCUUUUCUACACUCUGAAUACAUCGUCGUUGUAGGUGUUUCACAGAUAAAGUAUAAAGUAUAAAGUGCAACGCAAGAGACGCCGGUUUGCUUUUUAUCAUUAAAAAAAAAAAAAAAAACGAUUUUGCCUUCCUAAUUAGGGCAUAUUUGAAGGCAAUAACACAUGGAUCCUUCUCAACAAAGGUUAUUGGUUGCUUGGUUACUUGUUGGUUUAUUGGUUUCUUUUUCUCCCGAUUGGUUCCAUACUUGACAGAUUUGAAGGCAGCAUUUGAUGCAUGGAUCUAUCCAUCCAUUUUCUGUACCACUUAUUCUACACAGGGUCACGGGGGAGCCUGGAGCAUGGAGCAUGGAGCAUGGAGCCUGGAGCCUAUCCCAGGGAACCCAGGGCACAAGGCGGGGAACACCAUGGACGGGGUGCCAACCCAUUGCAGGGCACAAUUGCACACACAUUCACACGCUAUGGACAAUUUGGGAAUGACAAUCAGACUACAACGCAUGUCUUUGGACUGGGGGAGGAAACCAGAGUACCUGGAGGAAACCCCGGAAGCACCGGUAGAACAUGCAAACUCAGCACUCAUAGGGUAGAGGUGGGAUUUGAACCCCAAACCCUGGAUGUGUGAAACAAUGCUCUUCUUUAUUUUUUUAUUUAUGUAUUUUUUUUUUUACAAUUUUCUCCCAAUAUGCCUAACCACUGCCCAACCACCAACCUACCAGUGUAGCCUAGCAAGCAAUGGCUACCAAACCAGGAGAGCAAGAGCUUUUGCAUGUUUCCUCCAAGAUUGUGCAAGCCUCUGCAUCUUUCUAGUAAUGUGCUUGGAGGAAAGUGCUAACUACCCAUAAUUGUUUAGUAUCACUAGACAGGAAGUCUAUCCCUCCUACCUAUAGGGCAGGAGAGUUAUCCUCUGCUGAACUCCUGGUGACAGAUGACCAUUGUAAAGGUUCAAACUCAUGAGCUCCUCAUGAGACAAGAGGGCAAAACCUUAAACCGCUGGGCCCAGGAAUAUUUUGUUUAACAAUGUAGUAUCGGCACAAGUCUACUCCUGGAUAGAAGCAAUGCUGGAAACCAGACCCCUAUUUAAUAUAUCAGACCUGGAGAUUUGGACUUCAGCCAUGGGUAAAGACCCAGCGUGAUUCUGGACUCGGUUCAGCGUUCAAACCUCAACUCCUGCUUGAUUAACACAUCUGGAUCAAAUCAGCCAUAUGGGCGGAUUCCGGCUGCAGGCGAGUCGCUAAAACAACGCAAACCAAUCAUGUUAUACUUAUCAAUCUAGAUGGUUACUAGGCUGAGCCUUAUUAUUAUUAAUGAUUCUCAAAUUCCUGAGUAGGCUGAGUUUUGUGUUUCUGCUCUAAUACACCCAUGUACAAGUCUGUUAAUCCCAGCCAGAUGUGCUAGCAUCGGAAACUCACCGUAAUGUAUAGGGCUAGGGUGAUACAUCAAUGAUCAGAAUUGGAAAUGAUGAAAAAUAAGUCAUGGCUAACUUGCAAUCGAGAUGAUAUCUAUACAACUGAUUGGUGCCAGAAUCCAGCUGUAUGUCCAAUUCGAUCCAGAUGUGGAAACCCAGCAGGAUGUACAGUCAUAUAUAUUACUUUUACAUUAUAGUGCAUUACGUUACAUCAUUCAUAUGGAAGAGACUUUUAUCCAACACUACGAACAACUGAGGCACAGCUUAAAGGCUUUCUUAAUGCCCCAGAAGUGGUUCUCUGGCUGGACUGGGAUUUGAAAGUCUCAAUGUUCUGGUUACUAGCACUGAAAUAUGACGACGAUGAAUAUCUAUCACUCAAAUGUUAAUAAUAGCUUGUGAUAUUUGAUUAGACUAAUGAUAAUGUAAUGGUGUAGAUCUCAAUACUAAACUAGACUAGUGUUGUUGACUCAAAUCUCCAGGGUCCCAGUACGCUUGGGUUACUCUUUUAGUGUUCUCCACAUGUCCAUGUGGGUUGCCACUCGCUUAUCCGGUUACCUCGCAAAAGCACGCCAGCAGGUGGAUUAGCUACACUAAAAUGACCCUUGUAGUGAAUGAGUGUGUACAAAUGUACACGUAUGGUGCCCUCUGAUGGACUGGUAUUCCAUCCAUGGUGUAUUCCCUCCUUGCCCCGAGUGUUCCAGAGAUUUCUUUCAAAUUAUUUCCCCCAAAAUUUCGAGUUAGAUUGGGAAACGGUUCGCUUUUCCCAUGAAAUAGUCACACAGUAGCAGUUUAACCACAACGGCCGGGUCAACAAUUAAACAGCCCCAAGUGUUUGUUAACACUUUGGUGCUCUUCCCCUUUCCCGUCGCUGUAAAUAGAACCUUCUGAACGGGCUCAAUGCAGCGGCCUGGGCUUGUUCAUCAAAUAUUCUUUUUAUUGAACAUUUACGCAAAUAUUUGUCGUUUUGUCCUGUACCAGUACGUUUGUUUUAACGCCUGAGAAAAAGCAAUAAGAUCUCAGGUACAAUCUAGAUCAUAAUCUGUGAUCACAGUGUACUGUAUGUUCGCAGUGUGUGUCUGUGUGUGUGUGUGUGCGAAAGGUUUUCAGAAUGCUAUCUCACCAGUGUGUGAGCUCGGAGCAAUAAUUUGCUUGUUUAAGGGGUUCGUGUUUGAUCAGUGUGAACAGUAAAUAAGGUAAGAACUCCCUGUAAAUGUGACUUUUUUUUGACGCUCUCUCGGACCGUUUGCCAUCUAUAAAAAAUAUAAUAAAUGUACUAGACUUUUCCCAUAAUGUUAUAUUUAUUGUACUUUUGAGGACCUUUUUUUUGGUCUCACAGGGACCCCAGAUGUCAUGGAACCAUGGUAAUUAGGACUCUCAUGCUCAUUUUGACAAUGGUCCACGAGGACAUAAUUCAGUGUGUAUGUGUAUGUGUGUGUGUGUGUGUGUGUGUGUGUGUGUGUGUGUGUGUGGGUGGGUGUUGAUCAAAAAUAGACCAGCUGUCCUCCCAGUGAUAGGAUACAGUCGUAUGUCUUCAUAAUCACCCGGACCAAAAUAUGGUGUUUUUGGUGUAAGCGAAAAACAAACUUGUGUGUGUCUGUCUGCUUUAUUGAGUCUCGACACACACCUAAAUGAUGAUUAAUGCUGUAACGAGGACGGGACAUGAGGACACUCCGUCAUAAUUGGGAAGGCCGGACACGAGCCAUUUAACGCAGUGCAUUUGUCAUAACACACACACACACACACACACGCACACACACGAACAGAGAAGUGUUGAGUGAAUGGAUGUGUGAUGUCUUCGAGUAAUGCAACAGAACAGUAUUCGUCCGUUUCGUCGAUUGUGUGUGUAUCUAGUUCCUCGUGUAUCUCCAAAAAAGGGGGUCCCUGAAGACCGCUACAUGAACUCUAGCGUUUUUAGCAAUUUAUCAUGAAAUUGCGUGUGUCCAGUGUCACUAGAUUGUGCCAUUACUUCCCACAGAUCUGUUCAUGGGAAACCUACGUGAUCCAAACAUGCACUAUCACAUGCACACUCCCUAACAGAAGCUGGAUGUGUGUGUGUGUGUGUGUGUGUGUGUGUGUGUUAUGUUUGAAUUACAGAGCUUUACUACAUUGCAUACAUAAAGUCACUUGGUACUUGAUACUUGAAGUUUCCCGCUUUUUCCUUCAAGCCUCAUCCCAGUAUCAUUCCUGAUGUUUACAUUUUGUGGGUGUGUACUUAAUAACCUAACCUUAUGCUUUGUGUUUGUGUGUGUGUGUGUGUGUGUGUGUGUGUGUGCCAUUCUGUUAUCUAUGAAAGUCUACACUGGUGAGAACAUGGUUAUCCCGGCCUUCCCGCUCUGUGUAGCACUUUUCCAUGUUUGUUUAGCCUGGCCAUAGUUUUAACUGUUCACUUACCCUGUUCGAUCAGUCACACACACACACACACACACUCAUUACUGCAAGUUAUCUUCACUGCCUCUGAAUCCAUCCGUGUCAAAUAUGAAUGCUCCAAUCACAGGUUUUCUCGUGUAGCAUGUUCGUGGCAUGUGUAAUACGGCGAGCAAAGCCUCCACGCGAUGUCUAUUUCCACACUUGUUUAUUUUCUCCCUUUUUUUUUUUUUUGCCGAAGCCGUGGGGAUGUCUCCGUGCGAAGUCCUUAACACUCCAAAGUCUCCCAUCCCAUAGGUGUUCAAUUUGGUUUGACAGUCUGGUGAUUUUAAAGGUCAUAGCAUAUGAUUCACAUCCAAUCAAACCAUUCGGUGAUCCCUUAUACAUUGUGGAUGGAUAGGGAGGGGGGCGGGGUCAUACCGGAAGAGACCACGCCCAUGCGGAUAGAAAUGACACAGGACGGCGAGAGACGUCAGAGAAGAAAGGCCAGACUGGUUCAAGAUGACAGGAAGGCUAGAGUAAUUAGGAACUCUUUACAACUGUGGUGAGCAGAAAAGCAUCGCUGAUUGCUCGCCACGUCAAACCCUGAGGCGGACGGGCUACAGUGACAAAAAGACCACAUUGGGUUUCACUCCUGUCAGCCAAGAACAGGAAUCCGGUUGUCAGUAGCAAAGUCAGCACAAUUUUCACACACAGACACACACUGCUGUCCUGCAGGAAAGAGAGUGCAGUGUUAAUGACAUGUCACAGGGGCAGCGGAUGUGUUUACAUUCUCUUAUAUGUUUCAGGGAAUAUUUGGGAAUCUCCUCCUCCUCUGUGAUGUUCCCCUCGCUUUUCCUCGUUCCCUCCUUUUUCUUCCUGACGCAGAUCGUCGUGCUCCUCAGCGAGGCCGUGGGAAGAUUCCCUUCUGGAAACAAAACCCAAAACACUAAACGGAUAAACAGACAGCAAUUCUCUUGGUGAACCAUACACACUGUAGCGCUAUAUAUAUAUAUAUAUAUAUAUCCAAGCGAGGCCUUAUCCCUCCCUCUCUCUCUCUCUUUCUCUCUCUCUCUCUCUCUCUCUCUCUCCUACUAAUAGGAUCCCAAAGGUAAGGAGCAGGCCACUGUUUCAAAUUACCACACUUAAACUUCAGCACCAGCUUAUUUUUAGGCGACGAGAGAGGUACAGGAAAUACUAGGAUUACAGUAUAGUGUGAAGUGUGUAGGUGUGCAUAAACAUAACCGGUUUGUUAGUUUCUAGAUCAGUACAGCUGUUCUAUUUAAUUCUAUAAAUAUACACAAAGGCGACAUAUAGUAUCGAAGUCCCACUGAAAAUGAGACAGCGUCAGGGUUCUGGUCAGUUAGCUCAGCUGUUUAGACAUCCUGGACAGACGUCCUUGAUCCUAUCUCUAAUUCCUGCCAAUGGACAGCAACGUCACGCCUCCUAAAAUCUACAGUGGGCAAUGGAGUUCGUUCACAUUAAUAUGAUAACUAUCUAGCUAACUAGCUAACUUUCCAUCAUCUCAUUCUGCUUGGCUAGACAUGACAACAUUAGCUAAAUUACACCGAAUAUCUGACUGGUUUCUUCUAGCAACCAUCAAUUCAAACACUUUACCAGUUUACAGUGCCAAUGGACGAAAUAUACAGGAAAUACUGUAUAACAUUCCUUGAGAUCUACCUUGCUGCAGGUUCCAUCUCCAACCAACAUCUAACAUGCCUAUUUUAGUCAAUCAAGAACUUCUUAAGGCAAUGAUUAGAUGGUCAGGUGGGCACGAUUAUGGUUGGAGCUAAAAUCUUCAGGAUGGUAGAUCUCCAGGAACAUGGUUGGUGUAGAUCAUUCGGUGUCCAAUGUCAUCUCGUUCAUAAUCAGCAGGUUUCGCCAUCGUGGAACGGAAGCUCCAGUUUUUUCCCCGCCUCACAACGAUGCCAUUUAGCACUGGUUUCCGAGCAGAAAGAUGGGGGCGUGUCUAUUACCUGACCGAUAGGAGGCGUGUUUACACAGCCAAGGAGUCCGGGAGACUUACCAAGACAUGUCCGCGAUCUGAAACCUGCUCAGGGUCAGGCAAUGUAAGGAAGAGUUUUAGUUGAUGUUUUCACACACAGUUUCUAGAUUGGUGCAAAAACCUUAAAAAAAAAAAAAAAAACAGCAGUUCUGCCGGUGGAAACUGGAUGAGAGAGGGCAGAGGAGAAUGGGAGGACUGGUUCGAGCUGACAGGGAGCUUGUGGUAGGAUAUGGUACAGUACAAAUAACCAUUCUUUACAACCGUGGUAAGCAGAAAAGCAUCUCUGAGCACAGAACAUGCCAAACUUUGAGACAGAUGGGGGGGGGCAGGCUUGCCCAAACUGGAUAGUUUUGGUGAGUCUGUGCCCAUGAUAGCCUCAGAUUCUUGUUCUUGGCUGACAGAGAAGUGGAACCGAAUUCUCAGAUGUUUCAUUGCGACAGUAAGUAAGAACAAUAAAAUGAAACCGAACAAUUUGUUACCUUCCUUACCAAAUUGCCUUGUGAGAAUUCUUAUGGAUUUGGAUUUACCAGCACAAAAAAAAAGAACUCGAGCUCAAAGUUCCUGCGUCUUGCUCAAACCGGGCUUUCCAAUUCGCUUCGUCACAUCCAGACCGUAGCGUCCUGCUUCCCAGACAUCUAGCGCCAUCAUGGCUAGGCCCUAAAACAGUAUUCAUUAUCCGGCUCAGCUUUCUUUAUUCCCUCGCUGUAAGGAAACGAAAAACGAACAAUUGUGGUAAACACUCUAUAAAAUGAGUUCGCAAGCUAUAAAUAUUGCGUCUUGACCAACAGAGUCUGUCACACUGGGUACAACAAUCACAAAGGGACAGAAUAUAUAUAUAAGUUUGUCUGCCUGAGAGAAAAGAUUACAUGGUUGUGGAUAAAAAAACACUCCAUGUCAGGCUGUUAUAGGACAAAUAAUCACCUUCAGGGUGGUAAUAGUAACUCCGCUUCACAUCAUAAAUCCAUAUCAAUUUGUUUAUCUUUUCAUCGAUCUAUCUAUCCAAUUCAAUUUAAGCCAAGUCAUCAGUUCUCCCGUCCUCGCCUAUGUCCCGCGACGACAGACCUGAGGAGUUCCAGAGGAUGGGUGAAGCACAGAGAGAAACACAUGCAUGCUGUGAGACUGAUAGACAAAGGAAACGAGUGAAGAAAGAGGGAUGUAGGACUAGCUAAGUGAUAUAGAUGAAAAACAAAAAAAAAGGAAAGAGACAGAACUCUGUUUUCAAUUACUGAGCGAGAGACUGUGAGAUUGGGACAGGAAAUGAGGCAAUGAAGGAGGAGGAAUGCGUGCGGAUUCCUCCACACGUUCUCGACUCCCACUCUCUCCUGUGUUUUGUCAGAAGAAAAGGGGGCAUGUGGGGGAGGACAGGAGGAUGUAGAGGGGGAGAAAAAGAGAGAGACAGAGAGAGAAAGACACAGAGAGAGAGACAGAGAGAGAGACAGAGAGAGACAGAGACAGAGAGAGAGACAGAGAGAGGGAGACAGAGAGAGAGAGAGAGGUGGGCUGGGUGGAGUGCAGACAGCUGGAUAUUUAACAUCCCAUACAAGCUAUGAAGAACCACGCAGAGAGGGAGAGGACGAGGGAAAGUACCUGACUGUGUGUGUGUGUGUGUGUGUGUGUGUGUGUGUGCGUGUUUGUGUGCGUGCAUGUGUGCGCGUGUGUGCGUGCACGCACUCACGUGGGCGGCUGUGUGUUUACACAAAGUGUUUUGGAACGGUCAGUAUCUAAAGAGAUCUGCAACACCCACUCUGCGCUCGUGCCUCUCUUGUCAACACACACACACAAACACACACACUCACUAGCAAUUACUCAGUCUAUAGACUCAUACUUUCCCCUCUCUUUAUCCAGCUCACUAAAACACUCUUGAAAUGAUCUCCUUUUUUUUCUUUUUUUUUUAAAACUGAAUUUACUUCAGUUUGGAGACAAGUAUUAUUUUGGUCACUAAGAGCGACAAAGUCGAACACACACACACUCACACACACACACACACACAAAUCUGAAUCUGAAGACAUUUUAGGACUUACUAUCUAUGAUUGAUCCAUAGAGUAGGUACAAGUAGAAAGCAGAUACAGUUUUUUAAACUUUGUUUAUUUAUAUAUUUUUUAUACAGUAUCUCACAAAAGUGAGUACACCCCUCACAUUUUUUGUAAAUAUUUGAUUUUAUCUUUUAAUGUGACAACACUGAAGCCAUUAAUGUCUAAACCGCUGGCAACAAAAGUGAGUACACCCCUAAGUGAAAAUGUCGAAAUUGGGGGUGUACUCACUUUUGUUGCCAGCGGUUUAGACAUUAAUGGCUGUGUGUUGAGUUAUUUUGAGGGGACGGCAAAUUUACACUGUUAUACAAGCUGUACGCUCACUACUUU